rfam:Necator americanus N_americanus-1.0_Cont86914.1, whole genome shotgun sequence.
AUCGCUUCUCGGCCUUUUGGCUAAGAUCAAAGUUUAGUUUCUGUUCUUAUCGAAUUAACCUUCGAUAGAGAUUCGAAUGAGUCUCGUUAAGGUUAUUUGUAUUUUUGGAACCGGACGGGGUCGUGGGCUUGCUCGCACCUCGUC